rnacentral:tRNA from 1 species
GGGCGGUUAUCUCAAUGGUAGAGUGGUAGCAUGACUCGCUAUCUACGUGGGUUCGAUUCCCUCACCGCCUACCA